rnacentral:rRNA from 1 species
GGUGACAGCCCCGUACACAAAAAUGCACAUAUUGUGAGCUCGAUGAGUAGGGCGGGACACGUGGUAUCCUGUCUGAAUAUGGGGGGACCAUCCUCCAAGGCUAAAUACUCCUGACUGACCGAUAGUGAACCAGUACCGUGAGGGAAAGGCGAAAAGAACCCCGGCGAGGGGAGUGAAAAAGAACCUGAAACCGUGUACGUACAAGCAGUGGGAGCCUCUUAAUGGGGUGACUGCGUACCUUUUGUAUAAUGGGUCAGCGACUUAUAUUCUGUAGCAAGGUUAACCGAAUAGGGGAGCCGAAGGGAAACCGAGUCUUAACUGGGCGUUAAGUUGCAGGGUAUAGACCCGAAACCCGGUGAUCUAGCCAUGGGCAGGUUGAAGGUUGGGUAACACUAACUGGAGGACCGAACCGACUAAUGUUGAAAAAUUAGCGGAUGACUUGUGGCUGGGGGUGAAAGGCCAAUCAAACCGGGAGAUAGCUGGUUCUCCCCGAAAGCUAUUUAGGUAGCGCCUCGUGAAUUCAUCUCCGGGGGUAGAGCACUGUUUCGGCAAGGGGGUCAUCCCGACUUACCAACCCGAUGCAAACUGCGAAUACCGGAGAAUGUUAUCACGGGAGACACACGGCGGGUGCUAACGUCCGUCGUGAAGAGGGAAACAACCCAGACCGCCAGCUAAGGUCCCAAAGUCAUGGUUAAGUGGGAAACGAUGUGGGAAGGCCCAGACAGCCAGGAUGUUGGCUUAGAAGCAGCCAUCAUUUAAAGAAAGCGUAAUAGCUCACUGGUCGAGUCGGCCUGCGCGGAAGAUGUAACGGGGCUAAACCAUGCACCGAAGCUGCGGCAGCGACACUAUGUGUUGUUGGGUAGGGGAGCGUUCUGUAAGCCUGUGAAGGUGGCCUGUGAGGGUUGCUGGAGGUAUCAGAAGUGCGAAUGCUGACAUAAGUAACGAUAAAGCGGGUGAAAAGCCCGCUCGCCGGAAGACCAAGGGUUCCUGUCCAACGUUAAUCGGGGCAGGGUGAGUCGACCCCUAAGGCGAGGCCGAAAGGCGUAGUCGAUGGGAAACAGGUUAAUAUUCCUGUACUUGGUGUUACUGCGAAGGGGGGACGGAGAAGGCUAUGUUGGCCGGGCGACGGUUGUCCCGGUUUAAGCGUGUAGGCUGGUUUUCCAGGCAAAUCCGGAAAACCAAGGCUGAGGCGUGAUGACGAGGCACUACGGUGCUGAAGCAACAAAUGCCCUGCUUCCAGGAAAAGCCUCUAAGCAUCAGGUAACAUCAAAUCGUACCCCAAACCGACACAGGUGGUCAGGUAGAGAAUACCAAGGCGCUUGAGAGAACUCGGGUGAAGGAACUAGGCAAAAUGGUGCCGUAACUUCGGGAGAAGGCACGCUGAUAUGUAGGUGAAGUCCCUCGCGGAUGGAGCUGAAAUCAGUCGAAGAUACCAGCUGGCUGCAACUGUUUAUUAAAAACACAGCACUGUGCAAACACGAAAGUGGACGUAUACGGUGUGACGCCUGCCCGGUGCCGGAAGGUUAAUUGAUGGGGUUAGCGGUAACGCGAAGCUCUUGAUCGAAGCCCCGGUAAACGGCGGCCGUAACUAUAACGGUCCUAAGGUAGCGAAAUUCCUUGUCGGGUAAGUUCCGACCUGCACGAAUGGCGUAAUGAUGGCCAGGCUGUCUCCACCCGAGACUCAGUGAAAUUGAACUCGCUGUGAAGAUGCAGUGUACCCGCGGCAAGACGGAAAGACCCCGUGAACCUUUACUAUAGCUUGACACUGAACAUUGAGCCUUGAUGUGUAGGAUAGGUGGGAGGCUUUGAAGUGUGGACGCCAGUCUGCAUGGAGCCGACCUUGAAAUACCACCCUUUAAUGU